GAUGAACGCUAGCGAUAGGCUUAACACAUGCAAGUCGAGGGGUAACGUGUUGGAAGCUUGCUUCCGAUGACGACGACCGGCGGAUGGGUGCGUAACGCGUAUGCAACUUGCCUCACAGUGGAGAAUAACCCGGAGAAAUCCGGACUAAUACUCCAUACACUCUUAAGUACGCCUGUACAUGAGAGGAAAGAUUUAUCGCUGUGAGAUAGGCAUGCGUCCUAUUAGGUAGUUGGUGAGGUAACGGCUCACCAAGCCGACGAUAGGUAGGGGUGCUGAGAGGCAGAUCCCCCACAUUGGGACUGAGACACGGCCCAAACUCCUACGGGAGGCAGCAGUGAUGAAGAUUGGUCAAUGGAGGAAACACUGAACCAGCCAAGUCGCGUGAAGGAAGAAUGUCCUAAGGAUUGUAAACUUCUUUAGCGAGCGAGUAAGGACUUCCACGUGAUGGGAGUUUGAAAGUAGCUCGAGAAUAAGUAUCGGCUAACUCCGUG
rnacentral:rRNA from 1 species